AUCCAGCUGAAGAGUCCCAAAUAGGACGAAACGCGCGUCCUGGAA
rnacentral:hammerhead_ribozyme from 1 species